UACGAAGGGGGCAAGCGUUGUUCGGAAUUACUGGGCGUAAAGAGCGCGCAGGCGGUCGUUCAAGUCGCGUGUGAAAGCCCCCCGGCUCAACUGGGGAGGGUCACGCGAUACUGAUCGACUCGAAGGCAGGAGAGGGUAGUGGAAUUCCCGGUGUAGCAGUGAAAUGCGUAGAUAUCAAGUGGAACACCAGUGGCGAAGGCGAGUCCCUGGACAACUCCUGACACUGAGGCACGAAAGCUAGGGGAGCAAACAGG
rnacentral:rRNA from 1 species